rnacentral:tRNA from 1 species
AAUAGCUCAGUCGGUAGAGCGCUCGGCUGUUAACCGAUAGGUCGUAGGUUCAAGUCCUACUU